rnacentral:rRNA from 1 species
GUAGGUGGCAAGCGUUGUCCGGAAUUAUUGGGCGUAAAGCGCGCGCAGGCGGUUCUUUAAGUCUGAUGUGAAAGCCCACGGGCUCAACCGUGGAGGGUCAUUGGAAACUGGAGAACUUGAGUACAGAAGAGGAAAGCGGAAUUCCACGUGUAGCGGUGAAAUGCGUAGAGAUGUGGAGGAACACCAGUGGCGAAGGCGGCUUUCUGGUCUGUAACUGACGCUGAGGCGCGAAAGCGAGGGGAGCAAACAGGAUUAGAUACCCUGGUAGUCCACGCCGUAAACGAUGAGUGCUAAGUGUUAGGGGGUUUCCGCCCCCUUAGUGCUGCAGCUAACGCAUUAAGCACUCCGCCUGGGGAGUACGGCCGCAAGGCUA